rnacentral:lncRNA from 1 species
GGCAGAAGAAAUAGUAUCCACAUAACCAAAAUAGGUAGACAUGUAGAAAGAAAAAGGGAAAAGAAGAAUGCAAUGAAAAUAUGCAACUAAAGCUACCUAAAUGCAACAGAUAUAACACUACACACAAAACAGAACAACACACUCACAACACAAGACAAAACAUAACACACAUUAAUCACAACAAAAGACCUAAAACUGAACUGUUGGUCCCCGGUAAUGGCGCCAAAAUUUGAUGGGUGUCGCACCCCAUGCAAAUUUUAUGAGCAUAAAGAAUGCAGUAUAGACUAGGAAGUGACUCAUAGGUUGUCUCUCAAGGACCAAAAUGUGGUUCGAGAAUAAGGUCAAACACGAAGUGGGGGGGUUUGUGAAGAGUUUUGUGAAUGCAGAAUGAACUAAAUUAAAACACGAAUGCAAACAGAAAUGUAAAAGGAAAUGUAAAAAACGAAAUGUGAAAACGGUUGGUCAUUAACUCAAUCACUAUGCUUCAAAUCACAGAUUAACGAGAAGUACAC